AUUGAACGCUGGCGGCAGGCUUAACACAUGCAAGUCGAACGAGUGGCGGACGGGUGAGUAAUGUCUGGGAAACUGCCUGAUGGAGGGGGAUAACUACGGGAAACGGUAGCUAAUACCGCAUACCAUCGGAUGAGCCCAGAUGGGAUUAGGUAGUGGGUGGGGUAACGGCUCACCAAGGCGACGAUCCCUAGCUGGUCUGAGAGGAUGACCAGCCACACUGGGACUGAGACACGGCCCAGACUCCUACGGGAGGCAGCAGUGGGGAAUAUUGCGCAAUGGGCGCAAGCCUGAUGCAGCCAUGCCGCGUGUAUGAAGAAGGCCUUCGGGUUGUAAAGUACUUUCAGCAGGGAGGCGUUAACCGCAGAAGAAGCACCGGCUAACUCCGUGCCAGCAGCCGCGGUAAUUC
rnacentral:rRNA from 1 species